AUCCCUGCCUGGCAGGUGAGACACCGUGACCAAGGAAGUAGUUUUCCCAGGGUGCACUGCAGAUAUGCUGGCCCUGGCAGUUUCUGCAGAGGUGAGAAACUUGGGUGCAUAAUCUGUGGCAGUGGGAGACUGUUCACCCUCUCCCC
rnacentral:snRNA from 1 species